rnacentral:rRNA from 1 species
AACGAACGCUGGCGGCAUGCCUAACACAUGCAAGUCGAACGAGACCUUCGGGUCUAGUGGCGCACGGGUGCGUAACGCGUGGGAAUCUGCCCUUGGGUUCGGAAUAACAGUUAGAAAUGACUGCUAAUACCGGAUAAUGUCUUCGGACCAAAGAUUUUAUCGCCCCAGGGAUGAGCCCCGCGUAGGAUUAGCUAGUUGGUGAGGUAAAGGCUCACCAAGGCGACGAUCCUUAGCUGGUCUGAGAGGAUGAUCAGCCACACUGGGACUGAGACACGGCCCAGACUCCUACGGAGGCAGCAGUGGGAAGUAUUGGACAAUGGGCG